rnacentral:lncRNA from 1 species
UAAUUAGACACAUUCAAUGUAUACAGAUUUACUAGAAUAAUAUGACAAUUGGUAAAUUUGUCAGAUACAAAUAUUAAAAUGUAAGAAUUCUAUGAACAUUCUAUGUAUGUGUACACCACCAAUUCUACAACAUGACGUUUUGAUGAUGUAUCAUUUCGAUAUAAUAUACUAAUAAUGUUUAUCAUUAUGGAUUACCCACCCAACAAAAAAAACUUAAAAAGGAAAAAAAAAACUAUGCACCAGUGGAAUUAAAAAAUUUUAUACGACUACAUGUGUAUACAUACCUGACAUCACGCGAGGAAGAUGAAGGGACAUAACUUGAGAACGG